rnacentral:rRNA from 1 species
AUUGAACGCUGGCGGCAGGCCUAACACAUGCAAGUCGAACGAGUGGCGGACGGGUGAGUGAGGUCUGGGCAACUGCCUGAUGGAGGGGGAUGACUACUGGAAACGGUAGCUAAUACCGCAUACCAUCAGAUGUGCCCAGAUGGGAUUAGCUUGUUGGUGGGGUAACGGCUCACCAAGGCGACGAUCCCUAGCUGGUCUGAGAGGGUGACCAGCGACCCUGGAACUGAGACACGGUCCAGACUCCUACGGGAGGCAGCAGUGGGGAAUCUUGCACAAUGGGCGAAAGCCUGAUGCAGCCAUGCCGCGUGUAUGAAGAAGGCCUUCGGGUUGUAAAGUACUUUUAGCGGGGAGGCGGUACCCGCAGAAGAAGCCCCGGCUAACUCCGUGCCAGCAGCCGCGGUAAUUC